CCUUUUAAUUCAAGGAUCGAACAAACGGAAUUACGAAUUUUAGACUGUCUCAUACAUCCCUCACAAAUUUAAUUUAAAAGUAAAAAAUCUUUUUCAAAAAAGAAAGACGACAAGACCCUUCGAACUCACCUUAAGGUUAGUUGGGGUAACUAUAAUAAAAAAAUCUUACAAAUUAAUUAAAUAAUUACUUAAUUAAAUACUUAGUUACCGUAGGGAUAACAGCACAAUAAUACUUUAAAGCUCUUAUUAAAAAUACAGAUUGUGACCUCGAUGUUGAAUUUUAAGUAAUCUAUUUAAAUUGCAAUAAAUAAAAAAGAAAGUCUGUUCGACUUAUAAAUACUUACA
rnacentral:rRNA from 1 species